UACGUAGGGUGCGAGCGUUAAUCGGAAUUACUGGGCGUAAAGCGUGCGCAGGCGGUUCGUUGUGUCGGCGGUGAAAGCCCCGGGCUUAACCUGGGAAUGGCCGUUGAAACUGGCGAACUGGAGUGUGGCAGGAGGGGGGUGGAAUUCCGCGUGUAGCAGUGAAAUGCGUAGAGAUGCGGAGGAACACCGAUGGCGAAGGCAGCCCCCUGGGCUAACACUGACGCUCAGGCACGAAAGCGUGGGGAGCAAACGGG
rnacentral:rRNA from 1 species